rnacentral:lncRNA from 7 species
CAUUCUAGACACAACUAGCAGCACAAAAGAUAUGUAAAUAAAAGAUUACUUGGUUUAUGUCUAAUUUUCUGAGUUUAUGUUCAUACUAAUGAAGUAUCAAUAUUGAUUUGAAUAUAUAAUUAUGCUUUAAAUUCAGUAAAAGCACAUGUACUGUAGCAGCAUGCAACAUUUUUUCUAUAAAAGCAUAAGUCAUUUGUUCCCAAAUUAACCAUAUAUGUAGACCAUUUGAUGCUUUAAUGUCUGAUUAUGUAUUUGUAUACAUAUUUUUAACUAUGUUUUUGUUCUUGUUUGGCUGUGUGUGCAUGGUUACAUAUGAAGUAAAUAAGUUAUGCUUAUUUAUAGGUUCAGGAUGUUCAGGUUGAGCUUGAGAAGGAGAAGCAAGAAAAAACAAAACUUUGACAAGUGUUGGAUAACUUGAAGACGGAAUCAGAAACUUCAAGGGUAAAACAUUAUGAGGAAAUAGAAGUUGUAAAGAUGACAUCACAAGAAAUGCACGUCCUCCUUUGUUAACCGCUAAACUUCAACCAGGGCCAGCACAAUCCAAGGCCAUAAAGUUUCUAAGCCCCCAACAGUGAAUUAUUGUAGUAUGUUUCUUUUUUGAAAAUUGGUUGUUGGUUGAACUAUGUCGGGUUGUUUUAUCAAUAGUUGGUUGCUAGUUUUUCACAAGUAGGACUUAGUGGCUCCAAGUUUGUUGAUUUUUGUUACUAGUAGCCUUAAGUUUUGUUGAACAAUGUUGCUUCUUGCUAGAUGUAUUGUGACCUAUGAAUUGGAAUUUGUCUGCCACAAUUUUG